rnacentral:rRNA from 1 species
GACGAACGCUGGCGGCGUGCUUAACACAUGCGAGUCGAGCGGAAAGGCCCUUCGGGGUACUCGAGCGGCGAACGGGUGAGUAACACGUGAGUAACCUGCCCCAGACUUUGGGAUAACCCUCGGAAACGGGGGCUAAUACCGGAUACGACACAGCUUCGCAUGGGGUCUGUGUGGAAAGUUUUUCGGUUUGGGAUGGGCUCGCGGCCUAUCAGCUUGUUGGUGGGGUGAUGGCCUACCAAGGCGACGACGGGUAGCCGGCCUGAGAGGGCGACCGGCCACACUGGGACUAAGACACGGCCCAGACUCCUACGGGAGGCAGCAGUGGGGAAUAUUGCACAAUGGGCGGAAGCCUGAUGCAGCGACGCCGCGUGAGGGAUGACGGCCUUCGGGUUGUAAACCUCUUUCAGCAGGGACGAAGCGUAAGUGACGGUACCUGCAGAAGAAGCGCCGGCCAACUACGUG